rnacentral:lncRNA from 1 species
AUUCAUUUUCUGCCCCAAAUUCCUGGAGAGGCAGUGAGUCCACCUCGCUGAAGAUACAGCCUGUGAGGGGGGACCUUAGGUCCCCGAUGACCCCCCGCGUACGGGGUAGGGUUGGAGGAAAGAGCUGGGGGGACCCGUGAGAACCAGGACAGGAAAGGCACGACUUCUUUAGAGGAAGAGAGCUUUGUCUCCUUAGUUAUCAGAUUUGCUGGGGACCCGGAGACAGGCGAGUUUUCCCUCAGCUAUCCUCUCUCUAUAUAGUCUAUCCUCUAUGUUAACCUCCCGGUCUCUGCCUCUCUCAUUUUCGGUUUAGCGUUAUUUCAUGUACAUCUAACAUCAUGCUCUCUGUGAAAGUACAGCCAUCGUCUCGGAUUCCAGAGAAGAAUGUUCUACUUGUUCCUUGUUUUGCAUAUUCUCUAAUCACACUUAGAAUACCUUGUUUACGUUUUCCAUUUGGUGGCAACAGAUUAUCAGUGUCAAAAUUUGAAUUCAGUGUUAGUGUCCGUGGAAGCCAGGGCUGUAUAACAUGACCUCUUCUUUUGUAUCCUGCAUAACGUCCUUCCUCCCUCUGAAAUGUUGGAACUUCCUAAAUCCCCUGGAGACCUUCUCCCAGUGGGAGGGAUUCAGAUUUGAUCUAGAAAUAUGACACUGGCUGUCACUCUGAAGCUGUGGAGGGGCUGGGUCCAGCAGGAUCAUGGGCUCAAUGUUUCUGGUUCUGUCUUUGCGAAUGACACUAGAGAGUAGGUACCUGGUGUGCAAACACCAUUCCCACUGAAGGAGCAAACAGCUGCCUGCUGAUGACAUUUAAACACCAGAUCACACAUAAAAUCACAUUUCAUUUACUAUAGAAUUUUCUGGUAUUCAGCACUGGGGGAUCUUUCUCUGGAAACAUUAACAGGGCACUUUUUUUUCUCGUCUGGAUUUUCAGUCUUUUAACCUGACACCUUUGUCCCUUUUUCUAGUUUUAGAUAAUGUAUUUUGAUUUGUCAUUAGGUUUUAGAGGGUUUAAGUGUGAUUCUACAAGUUGGUCUCAGACCUCUUUGAGACGUGGAGUAGGAUGGAGGAGAGGAGAAAGGAAUGGCAUCUGCCUGAAGCACAGGGCUCUACACAACCCAGCUCAAGGGAUAAGAGUCCUUGCCCCUAACCAAACACAG